ensembl:lncRNA
AGGACAAGGAGACUGCUGGUCCUAGCCUAGUUCAGUACAGUAUAUGUUGUGAGCGUGCUUCAGAUCUCCGGAGAUAGCACGGUACGCUGUGUCCAGAGCAGAGGUGAAAGCCAUCCAAAGCAGAGUAACUGUGCUUUGUGUCCAAGUUGAUACCUGUGGAGAGGAAAGGAAAGAGAGAUUGAUGCCUGUGGAGAGAAAAGGAGAGAGAGUGGGUAACACGAGGAGAGACCGAGGAAACCUGUACUUACGCCGCUGCCUAAAGAGAAAGCGAGUGAGCACCCAAGGAACGAACUGUGUGAACCAGUACUUACUGUGAGCUGUAAUCAGCGAAGAGGUGAGAGCAAAACCAAGCUGAACUAACUGUGCCUGUGUGUCCCAGCCGUUGCCUGUGGAGAAAGAGAAAGAGAGUGAGCACCCAGAGAACGAACUGUGUGAACCAGUACUUACCGUGAG